AACUUUUUAGUAUAUUAAGUAUAAACAACUUCCAAUUGUUAGGAUUACAAUUUUCGUAAAAAAGUUA
rnacentral:tRNA from 1 species